AUGAUUUUCUACUUUGUAAACGCCCAAUGUUAUCUCAUUCUCUCUGCUUGCUUUCAAAUGCGACAAUAUAUUUCUCUCUUUUCUCUUUAUCUGUUGAUGAAAAUUUGGUUCACUAUCCUUAUGUUGCCUGAAAUAUUAAGAUUUCAAGCGAGUCUAUAUAUUUUCUCGCAUACUUCUCAAUUUCCAUCCACUCAGAAGAGGAACUCCCAAUUCAGAGGGUUCACAUAUCACAAUUGA